GUGUGUGUGUGUGUGUGUGUGUGUGUGUGUGUGUGUGUGUGACAAACCAGAGACAUUUCCCUCCACCAGCCUAAUACCAUCAGCUUCAGAAGAUGCCCAGCACACCUCAUCAAAAUUUCAGUACCAGCAAGGGAGGCUUAUAUGUGAGGUUUCCUUUAACAUGCUUUUCUUAUUUCCACCAUGUUACUUAGGGUCAAGCUUCUUUUACCAACCUCGGAGCCAUUUCCUCUUAGCUAAGUCGGCCCCAUGCUUGGAGAACUUGCUCAGCAUCAUCUCUUUCAUUGAACCUGCUCUGACCACUCCUUCCUGCUCUUACUUCUUCUCUUCCAAUAAAUUGCUUAUUAUUCAUAAUUUUGAUUGCUAGCUUAUAGUUCUUGCAUAUGCAUUGUGUGUUUAAGUGUGUGUGUGUGUGUGUCUAUUUGGGUGAUCUCAAAAGUUCACUGUAAGUACUUGGUCGGCAGUUGCCAUAUCUUACACUUGUCUAUAUGUAUGUCCAAGACUACUGUAACAGUGCUAGGCACACACAAGAUAAUCAAUAAAUGCUUGCUGAUUAAGUAAUUGUUGUACUGAUUAAAAGCCAACUAAGAUGGGGCCUAUGUGAGUGGAUAGAAAUUGGGUUAGACGGGGCAGUGGAAGCCUAUGUUUCUGUGCACAAGGGCGCACAGAAAAGUCCGCACUUUAUGAAUGCAUGCAGAAUACAUGACAACACCCCCCACAAAUAAAUGAACUUCUUCAUCUUUCCCAGGGCUCAUUCUCUUUCAGAAAAUAGUUUUAUUUGAAAAUCACUUAGUUGGGGUUAGUCAUUCAAUGGUUAUCUGCUUAUUUCUUUCAUUCUCUAGCCCGCUAACAGAAAGAAGGUGAGCCUGAUCCAAUCAUCUCCAUUUGGAAUAUAGGAAAACUAAGACCCACACAAGUUUUCCCAGCUGAAGUUAGUGCCCUAGUCUCUUGACUCUGAAAAUAGGAUUUUGCAGAUUCAACAAUAUUCACAGCCAAUAACAGCAUUCCAGAAGUUCCUAUGCAGUCUAAAGAAAUUUACUUGUGACCAGCAAAGUAACAAUGGGACAUACAGACUCCCCUGGUCACCCAUGAAGGUGAUCUGGGAAGGUGAGCUGGCAUUACUACUGCCUACUCCUAUCAUGCUAGCUGUCUGACUAGAGGGACACCUGGUUGUCAUCUAAGAUCCAACACCUUGGUUCUAAGUCUAACUCUGGAGGAACUUGGGACACCAAUGAUUUGACUUCAUAAGGAGAUAACAAAGCCUAGUAAUAAAGGUAUUAAUAUAGUACUAACAAUAGUGGGGCCCAGUGAGAUUCAGCUUAGCCAGCCCUUUAACUUAGAGGGCAUCAGCACAUAGGAGCUGGUUGUUACACACAUUAGCCUUAUACUUCUCAAAGUGGACCUUCUUUGGUGCACAGGGUAGAAGACAGCAUCCAAAUCUAUUCAGAGGAAAGGGCAGGGGAGGAGAAGGGCUCACUACAUAGCAAGAAGUCAUCUCUUGUCUGGUACCAGAGUCCUCGCUGCUUGAUUAGGGACAACUGGAGGCUGAAAGAUGAGUUUGCUCUGACAGCUAUGCCUGAAGACUCCUGAGCAUGGCUCUGAUUACUCAAUCAUCUGUCAGCCAAAGCACUUUCAUCCUGUCAACACCUCAGCAAAGUUGGUUUCUCACAGAAGAUGAAAUGGAAGACCAAGGAGCUGAAAUACUAUGGGAGCUUGAGGAAUGGAAUGAAGAGCUUUGGUACGGAGGAAAUAAAGCUUGACUGUGUAGGCUCCUCACCUAGGAUCAGUUUGUACUUACUGCAAGAAGAAGAGAUCAAAUUGUAAGUUGCACAGUACAGGUAAAGAAUAUUUUAAUUUUACAAAGCCCCUCCUCAAGGCACAUAUUCUUUCUGGUUAGGACUACUACUGCCAUGGCUGAGAUGCAGUUUAUUCCCUUAAGAAUGUGUUGGAUGCUGUCCCUGGUGUGUCAAUGUUAACAGCCCUAACAUUGUGAUGCCACCCAUCAUAAGACCUUCACCAGAGCCAAGAUGAUAGCACUGGCACACCAUGCCUUUGAAUCUCUGGACCUGUGAGCUGAACGAAUAUUUUUCCUUGUUAAGUUACCUGGUCUAAUGUAUUCUGUUACAUUAACAAAAUAGUGUAACAACUCAGUCUUCACCCAAGCCUCAACCCAUUCACUAAGGCAAUUGGAUGAGUUGGCAGCUGGUGUUAAGAGAGAAAUAAAGUUGAUAAGUUUUAAGUGUCAGCAUAAGAAUAAAAUAGGAGUAGGCUGACCUUGGGAAAAGGUUUAAAGGGGAAUGUGAGGCUUCUUAAAAGCAAAUAGAGAGAGACAAACAAAAACUAAACACACACACACACACAACACAACACAGAGUAGAAUAAGAGGUCAUAAAAAGCCUAGCAGUGUAUGCAGAGAAUAAAACCAGCUCAUCAAUUUUAAAGUAUCACAAAACCCUCCAGUAUCAAAGACUUAGCACAUUUUUAUAUUGCAACAGAACUCUGUACAGUUCCUUGCCAGCCAAGUGGAUUAUGGCCAUUGCCCAUUAUUCCCUUGUAAAAGUUAAUUAAAAUACAAGGCCUUGGUUAGAAACAAAGAAAACCAGUCAGUUCAAGUCAUUUCCCCAACACGACUAACAACUUCACUUGGUCAGGUAUAAAUUGGAGCUCCCUUUGUUCUUCAGAGAAGUCCAGGAGGAUGGUCUCAAAUCACUUCCCAUUUCUGGCUGCUAGAAAGGGUGAAGAAUCUAUCAAAACAGCUUGCGUCAGAAAUCAAUAGGUGAUUUUAGACAGGCAGGAGGAUUGGAAUGCCAUUUUCAUUCUUGUAAUUGCCCUCUCUCCAGGUGACCAAGAAAUUCCAAGGUAAAAACCAGCUGUUGAACUUUUGGUGAGAAAGAACCAGGGAUGUAAUUAGCCUCCUCAGAGAACCUCAAGGCUGCCAGUAUCUCUCUGGUUUCUGAGAACAACUGUGAGACAUCUCAAUCUUAACUUCCUCUAAUGUUCUAUGAGUUUUUUUUAGAAUCCAAACUGGCCUGCCAUCUCAACAGAUAUUGUGUUGUCAUUUAGGGAGAAGAAGAAAGAUUCUGAGGA